UCUCUCUCUCAUCAUCAUCAACAUCAUCAUCAACAACUCCACCAUCGUCCUCCUCCUCAUCCUCCUCCAGCCUCCACCGACAUGUCUCAGCUCCUCAUCCCUCCAGCUGUGCUCAUGUGUCUGGGUGUGCUGGUGGAGGCGCAGCUGGAGGACUCCACCCUGACGGACCGAGCCUAUGUGGUGCUGGAGAAGCAGAACCUGGUCACGCUGGGCAGCGUCCUCGGGGUGCUGCUGUUGCUGAUGAUCAUCAUGGCUGUGUGCGUCUACAAACCGCUGUCCCGUCGGUGAAGCUGUCCCGGAAGGAGAAGGAGACAAAGACCAAGGAGGACGAGCGACCCCCCCUGCAGAGAGGAGAACCAGCACCGAGGACCCCAGACCCGGAGCGACCUCCACCUCCUGACGGGGGCCCGCAGGGGGGCCAGAGGGGCUCUGCCUCCAACAGGCUGAACACUGACUGUGCAAAUAUUUAUGAACUUUUAUCUGCCCUUUAAUAGGGAUUGUACGUCUCCAUCACUAAGACAUGUCCUUACAUGUACACGCACAAUUUUAUUUAAUUAAAAUAACAUUAGAUUGAUCAGAAAUACAGUCUGGACGUUAUUAAUGUGGUACAUGACAGUUUUUAGGUUGAGAUGGCUGACAGAUGUGUAUCACUCCUGUGGGCCAGAGGCUCAUUAUCAGUGUCGUAUCAGGUCCGACCCAGAAGGUAUCAUCCUAAAAUAUCACAUUAGUGAGUGAAAAUCACCUGUACAUAAAGUAAAAGUAUCAAAGUAACUGAUGUUAAGUGUACUUGUGUUUCAAAAUGAAUUAUCUCUCAGUUUACAGAAGGGAUGUCGAUUUGUUUUGUUGAAAGAAUCCAGCCUACCUGUUCAGGUGCCUCACCUGAUCGUUUGGAGGUCCGCAGGUUCUUUAGAGGCUUCUGGAGAUAAAAUGUCCAAAUGUGGACGGUUUGGUUGAGCGUCAUCACGUCUCUGCAGGCCCAGACGGUGCUUCUGUCCUUCAUAUCAACUGUUCACUUCACCAACAACUCAACUGUGCAGAUCACACACAGCUGGACAUCAUUCAUACAUACAGCACUAGUAACAGUCAUGUUUAGUUCCCAUGGUGCCGAGAAAUGUUCCCUUUGUUGUACCUGAUUACUAAAAAACUCAACUUACUACUCAUGUAUCUCUAGUCGACUGAUUUUACGGUGAAUCCAAGGAGUUUCUUCACUUAGUGUAGCCUACUCAGCUAAUUAAAGAAGCACUGGAAAAACGUGACAGCUCGAUGUUGGUGAGUACAGAUGUCAGGACUAGUUUAAAAAAAAAAAAAGGCUUAUUUGACCUGACAGCGUAGGGAGACACACCAUCUAUCCAACUCUUUACAUGAUGAACAAACAUUUUUUAAAUCAGCCGUUUCUUUUCUGCAAAUAAAACUCAUGAACAAAGUCACGUUUAAUCCUCAUGGAAAUAAAGUGCUUUUAUUUUAGAAACAACAUUUCGAAACCGACACAUUUUCUUAAAAUUUAAAUGUAUUAAAAAAAAACAAAAAAAAAAAAGAAAAAAGAAAACACAACCUUUGCAGCUGGAACUGUGCAUUACAAAGAUCUGCUUUAAAUUACCCAAAGCUAGCCUUUUUUUUUUAUUUUUUUUUUUUAAUUUAUUUGUUAUUUAAAAGUCGACAGUUCCGUCAGUUUGGAAACUUGAUCGUCAUGAUUAGUAGAUUUAUUUCAGCUGAAGCCCGUGAAAGUCAGACAGCGGCGACGCAGAGAGACGUUUGCUCAGUGGUUGGUUGUCAGUGAAGUCAAGUUAUAGUGGUUAACGCGUUUAACUCAGCAACACCCAAGCACAACUUUAAUGUCAACAGCUCAUUAUCUUGUUUUAAAGUUACAAAAUGUAAAAAAAAAAAAAAAAA